UACGUAGGUGGCAAGCGUUGUCCGGAUUUACUGGGCGUAAAGGGCGUGCAGGCGGUUUGUUAAGUUCAGGGUGAAAGCUCCCGGCUCAACUGGGAGAGGUCCUUGGAUACUGGCAGACUUGAGGAGGGUAGAGGAGAGUGGAAUUCCCGGUGUAGUGGUGAUAUGCGUAGAUAUCGGGAGGAACACCAGUGGCGAAGGCGACUACCUGGCCUGUUCUUGACGCUGAGGCGCGAAAGCUAGGGGAGCAAACGGG
rnacentral:rRNA from 1 species